rnacentral:lncRNA from 13 species
CUGCUGGUCCUGCCAUCCGUGCCCACUGACAUCCAUUCUCCCGUUCUUUCUUUCUCAGGGUGUUAGGGACCAGCAUGAGCUCUGGCUAAGCUGGCUAAAGCUCUCACCAACUUCCUUUGGAGCUUAAUGUGCCUGAGUCACUGAGUUCCAGCUGCGGGGGAGUGACUACCUGCCCCUCUCGUGUCACUGCCCUUGUGUGGAAUGAGCAUGAGACCACACCUCUGGCUGAGUCCACCUGUGUCCAUGGGACCCGGAGCCAUCACUUUGGACCUAGAGGUGAAAGAUUUAUGCUGGGGAUGGUGCUACCAAGUCCACCCUGGACGGGCAGUUGUUGGAUUCCCUCCACCCACAAGCGUGGAAUCCUGGAUUAAAACUGUCCUGUUGAGUCACAGGCAGGACCAAUCAAACCUAAACUCGCUACAGGAGGCUGAUUUGAACGAAAGGCAGAUUCGCACUUUACACACAGCAUCUGAGUGGGGUUGGUUUCUGUUCGGUUCAUACUUAGGAGCAGCGUUCUGUCUUUGUUCAAUGUGCACAAUAAAAAAUAAGGUGUUUUCUUCCAGCAGAGACAUUUAAAAUCGUAUCAGAGCUGCUAAAUUACAGAACUGUAUUUUCACAGAAAUAUUGAC